rnacentral:rRNA from 1 species
GAUUGAACGCUGGCGGCAUGCCUUACACAUGCAAGUCGAACGGCAGCACGGGAGCAAUCCUGGUGGCGAGUGGCGAACGGGUGAGUAAUACAUCGGAACGUGCCCAGUAGUGGGGAGUAACCGCGAAGACGGACUAAUACGCAUACGACCUACGGUGGAAGACGGGGAGUCGCAAGACCUCGCGCUAUCGGAGCGGCCGAUGUCAGAUUAG